ACUCAACACUAUUUUUUUUAAAAAAGGUGAGUCUGUAUGCUAGAGCGCGCCCUAAGGGGAUUUUCGAAUAUUCAGUUAGCCUUAAACUUGUAUAACAGGAGUUU
rfam:Marine metagenome 1096626796347, whole genome shotgun sequence.